rnacentral:rRNA from 1 species
AUUGAACGCUGGCGGCAUGCCUUACACAUGCAAGUCGAACGGCAGCACGGGUGCUUGCACCUGGUGGCGAGUGGCGAACGGGUGAGUAAUACAUCGGAACAUGUCCUGUAGUGGGGGAUAGCCCGGCGAAAGCCGGAUUAAUACCGCAUACGAUCUACGGUUGAAAGCGGGGGACCUUCGGGCCUCGCGCUAUAGGGUUGGCCGAUGGCUGAUUAGCUAGUUGGUGGGGUAAAGGCCUACCAAGGCGACGAUCAGUAGCUGGUCUGAGAGGACGACCAGCCACACUGGGAUUGAGACACGGCCAAGACUCCUAAGGGAGGCAGCAGUGGGGAAUGUUGGACAAUGGGCGAAAGCCUGAUCCAGCAAUGCCGCGUGUGUGAAGAAGGCCUUCGGGUUGUAAAGCACUUUUGUCCGGAAAGAAAUCCUUGGCCCUAAUACGGUCGGGGGAUGACGGUACCGGAAGAAUAAGCACCGGCUAACUACGUG